CCUUUCUCACCGAUCCCAACCCCGUUCCCUCCCCCCCCCCCCCCCCCAUCCAAAAAACAAAAUCCCUAACCCCUCGGCACCCAUCAUCCCAAUCCCCCUUCCUCCCCGAUCCCAACCCCCCCUUCCGCCGCCGCCGCCAUCUGAAAGUGGAAUCCCUCUCUAAUCGCUCUCAGCUCUCCCGUCGGUGGUCGGCCGGCCGGCUAGUCUCUCUCCUCGGCUGUUAACGAGAUCUCCGCCGUCGCCUUUGCGUUUUGAAGUGGAAUCCCUCUCUAAUCGCUCUCAGCUCUCCCGUUGGUGGUCGGCCGGCUGGCCAAUCUCUCUCCUCGGCUGUUAACAAGGUUCGUUCUCUCUCUCUCUCUCUCUCUCUCUCUUCCCCAAAAUCCUCACCAUAGAUCUCAUUUCGUGGCGCUUCUCCGAAGAAAACCACCACCACUCUGUUCCCAGAUCUCCGAAAGCAUCCGCCAAAAGGUGAGCUUUUCCCUCUUAGUUUUCUCUGCCAUCGUUUCAUCUCUUCUCUGGCUACGGUGGAAGGAAGCGUGGAACCAGAGAGAAGGAAGAGGAGACCAGAGCCCGGCUACGGUGAAACGAUCCGAGGAAGCCGCAUUUUGGUUUGAUUAGAUGGACUGCAGCGUGGAAGAUUGCAAAGAAGCUACUGCAGCCGAGUGCUUUCUGUAUCAUUUCUACUGUAAUUUUUAAUUUAUAAUUUAUAAGUAUACUUCCUGUGUUAUUUCUAUUGUAAAACAAAAAUCACAUAAAUUAUGCAUAUAUUGUAAUAUAUUGUAAUUUGUAAAAAAAAUCAAUAAAUAAGCAUCUGUUCUUCUUUUUGUGUUA